GCGGCGGACGGGUGAGUAACACGUGGGUAACCUGCCCUAUAGACCGGGAUAACUCGCGGAAACGCGUGCUAAUACCGGAUAACACAGCGGAGCGCAUGCUCCGGUGUUGAAAGGUGGUUCUGCUACCGCUAUAGGAUGGGCCCGCGGCGCAUUAGCUGGUUGGUGGGGUAACGGCCUACCAAGGCGACGAUGCGUAGCCGACCUGAGAGGGUGAUCGGCCACACUGGGACUGAGACACGGCCCAGACUCCUACGGGAGGCAGCAGUAGGGAAUCUUCCACAAUGGGCGAAAGCCUGAUGGAGCAACGCCGCGUGAGCGAAGAAGGUCUUCGGAUCGUAAAGCUCUGUUGUAAGGGAAGAACAAGUGCGGUAGUAACUGACCGCACCCUGACGGUACCUUACGAGAAAGCCACGGCUAACUACGUGCCAGCAGCCGCGGUAAUAC
rnacentral:rRNA from 1 species